GAUGAACGCUGGCGGCGUGCCUAAUACAUGCAAGUCGAGCGAACAGACGAGGAGCUUGCUCCUCUGACGUUAGCGGCGGACGGGUGAGUAAUACGUGGGUAACCUACCUAUAAGACUGGGAUAACUUCGGGAAACCGGAGCUAAUACCGGAUAAUAUAUUGAACCGCAUGGUUCAAUAGUGAAAGACGGUUUUGCUGUCACUUAUAGAUGGAUCCGCGCCGCAUUAGCUAGUUGGUAAGGUAACGACUUACCAAGGCAACGAUGCGUAGCCGACCUGAGAGGGUGAUCGGCCACACUGGAACUGAGACACGGUCCAGACUCCUACGGGAGGCAGCAGUAGGGAAUCUUCCGCAAUGGGCGAAAGCCUGACGGAGCAACGCCGCGUGAGUGAUGAAGGUCUUCGGAUCGUAAAACUCUGUUAUUAGGGAAGAACAAAUGUGUAAGUAACUAUGCACGUCUUGACGGUACCUAAUCAGAAAGCCACGGCUAACUACGUG
rnacentral:rRNA from 1 species